GAUGAACGCUGGCGGCGUGCCUAAUACAUGCAAGUCGAGCGAACGGACGAGAAGCUUGCUUCUCUGAUGUUAGAGGCGGACGGGUGAGUAACACGUGGAUAACCUACCUAUAAGACUGGGAUCACUUCGGGAAACCGUAGCUAAUACCGGAUAAUAUUUUGAACCGCAUGGUUCAAAAGUGAAAGACGGUCUUGCUGUCACUUAUAGAUGGAUCCGCGCUGCAUUAGCUAGUUGGUAAGGUAACGGCUUACCAAGGCAACGAUGCAUAGCCGACCUGAGAGGGGGAUCGGCCACACUGGAACUGAGACACGGUCCAGACUCCUACGGGAGGCAGCAGUAGGGAAUCUUCCGCAAUGGGCGAAAGCCUGACGGAGCAACGCCGCGUGAGUGAUGAAGGUCUUCGGAGCGUAAAACUCUGUUAUUAGGGGAGAACAUAUGUGUAAGUAACUGUGCACAUCUUGACGGUACCUAAUCAGAAAGCCACGGCUAACUACGUG
rnacentral:rRNA from 1 species